rnacentral:lncRNA from 1 species
ACAACAUGCAGGUUUGUUACAUAUAUAUACAUGUGCCAUGUUGGUGUGCUGCACCCAUUAACUCGUCAUUUACAUUGGGUGUAUAUAUCUCCUAAUGCUUUCCCUCCCCACUCCCCCCACCCCACAACAGGCCCCAGUGUGUGAUGUUCCCCUUCCUGUGUCCAUGUGUUCUCAUUGUUCAAUUCCCACCUAUGAGUGAGAACAGACCCAGCACUUGUUUUACGACAGUGAAUGCCUGAAGUGUUGGUCACCGAUCAUGAUUGAACGUUGUUUGUAAUCUUAUAUCUCAAGUGAAUUGCGUGUCGAAAAUCACGUUAUUCAGUCCAAUUCUGUUCCUAGUAUUUUGCAUAAGUUUCCCUUGAAAUUUAUAGGGAAUAUUCAAUUUAAAAAUGAGUAAAUUCAUGGUCAGAUUGAAUGCGUUCAGUUUUCUGGAAUGAAUGACAUUUGCAGGUCACGUUGCACAGUUUUAUUUUAAAACCAUAAUUGUGUAUUUAAUAUACUGUUUUUCUUUAAAUUUGGCUUUGGGCCUCAUUUCCAGGUGUUCUCCCGCAGAAAACAUGAUGUGUGUAGUUUUUAUAUGCAAACGAGUUAAAGAAGAGUGAUCUAGAGCCAGGCUGGUCAAGACAAGAAUUGGCUGGAAUAGGCUGCUCUUCCCCCAUUCCAUCAUGUGCUGUCCCCACCCCUUUGGCCACCUGGGCUGACUGUGUCUUAAUACCUCAAGUGCAAGUAUAUAGGAGUAAGAAAUGAACAAUGCCUGCCUCCUUAUACUCAUGCCUACAUUGUAUGACAUCUAGUAUGAAAGGGAAACAUUAAAGGAAAACCCUUGUUUUGCUCUAAAACCUGAGGACGGUAAACACUGAGAGUAACCUGGUGCUUGGUUUGAAGUAAAACACAAAUACUUCCCUUUUAUAAUGGUGAUGGUUGUGUUUGCUUAUUAGCCUUUUUGCUGGUUAAUUCUUGAUACUGACUAGAAAUGUGUAUAUUGCUUCUUGAAAUGAUUUAAUGACUUCUAUAUUGGUGAACAUGG